rnacentral:lncRNA from 1 species
CAAAACUAUGUACAAAAUAUGUUGCAAAUCUUUUCUAUCAAACAUAAACCAGUAACCAUGGUUUAAAUCAGAUUAUCCAUAGAAAGGAUGAGGGGGAAAAGAAAAAGUUAAGGCAUGAACUCGGAUCAAAAUCAGAGGUAUGGUAAGCAUUAUCAAUCUGUUUGGCUGUACCAAAAAUGACUGUGUAUUUAGUAUAAUAUCCCACAAUAAACUAUAUUAAAGUUUUGCGAUGAAAAAGCUAUACAGAGAAAACCGCAAGUCAAAUGAACUUUGAAUAACUAAGCAUGAUGAGAGAAAGGGAAAACCUGGCCAAGAUCCUCCAUUAUGGUAACUCCAUCUGGUAUUUUUGGGAUCACAGCCAGUAACAAUUCGCCACUCGUGACUUUCUAUUGCAGGGUAACUAAUUUUUAGCGGCAUUUCUCCAACCAACUCAUCCCAACGAGCUUCAAUAAGAUCCAUGAUUGCCAUUGACUGCUCUGGAGUUGCUAAAGAAGAAAGAAUUGCAACACAGUUUCCUAAAGCAAACCAUCGAAAAUCCAUUCGAGCCGGACUGACAUUUCCAAUGAAGUAGCCACCACGUGUUGGCAUAAAGUCAAACACCCAUUCUGGAAUUGAAUCCGGAAUAACAUUAAACUUAUUUACUGCAGUAUGUGAGUACUCCUCAGUCUUGUACCGAUAAAUGUCAUUUAGUUGCUGGAAGUCAAGCCAAAAGUAGCUUCUCAUGUGAAAACUUAGUGCAUGCAAACGCUUCACAACACGCUCUACACACUCCUUUCCGUCAGCAGUAUCUUGCUUGAGCAUGGACAAAGCACUUCUCAAUGCCAUGAAGAAAAGUGCUUGAAUCUCAAUAGGAUAUCCAUAAACACCCUGCAAGGAGAAGGAAACAAUCAAUAGAGUAUUCUAGUUCUUCAAAAUCACUGAAAUACGAGUUGAACUUCGGUUCCUCGAAUUGAAACCACAUAUUAAAGAGAUUAAAACUAUAUGUGCAUAGAAAAAAUUUCUUGUAUCACUUAAUAAUGUGUUGCCAUAUCAUUAGAUGAAUUUGACAUAUGGCCUGUUUGGAUUGGCAUAUUUGAGCUUCUCUACUGGCAUAAGUUUUACGAGAUUGUUUAGGAGAAUUUAUGAAAACAGCUUGACAGUUUUUAUAAGCUUUUUUCAACUUAUUUUCAUUAGUUCUCCAAUAUAGCCUAUAAGAACAACUUAUAGCAUAAAAUAGAAUUUGUAAUCUAUAAAAAUAGCUUAUGCAAGCUUAUCCAAACAUGAUGAGCACUUGUGCUAUAAGCUCCAAACAAUUUGUUUAUCCAAACAGGCCCGUAGUUGAAUAAGAGCAAGACUAGUAACAAGUUACAAAAGUAAUUGCAUUUGUAUAACCUUGAACCAUAAAUUGGAAAAUGUUUUCAUAAACAAUAGAAUGCAACAAGCACCAUCCUAAUAACUAGAUAAUGUUGGAAAUAAGAACAUAUUACAUACUGUGAAACAAUUGAAAAUUAUGCCUUACCAUUCUUCUAUCAAUCAUGCAGCAUCCAUCAGCACAAAGCAGAGUUGGAAAUGUGUCAAACCCCUCUGACAAGCAUAAAGUCAAUAUAAGCUUCAUUCCUUUUUGACAACUAUCAGAUUCAGACAGAGUUAAGUCCCCUGUAGAUUUUGUGUAAGCACGAAGCAAAAUGAUC